rnacentral:pre_miRNA from 2 species
GGCUUCUUUACAGUGCUGCCUUGUGACGUGAAGAUCAAGCAGCAUUGUACAGGGCUAUGA